rnacentral:rRNA from 1 species
AGCGAACGCUGGCGGCAGGCCUAACACAUGCAAGUCGAACGGAUCCUUCGGGAUUAGUGGCGGACGGGUGAGUAACACGUGGGAACGUGCCCUUUGGUUCGGAACAACUCAGGGAAACUUGAGCUAAUACCGGAUGUGCCCUUCGGGGGAAAGAUUUAUCGCCAUUGGAGCGGCCCGCGUCUGAUUAGCUAGUUGGUGAGGUAAAGGCUCACCAAGGCGACGAUCAGUAGCUGGUCUGAGAGGAUGAUCAGCCACAUUGGGACUGAGACACGGCCCAAACUCCUACGGGAGGCAGCAGUGGGGAAUCUUGCGCAAUGGGCGAAAGCCUGACGCAGCCAUGCCGCGUGAAUGAUGAAGGUCUUAGGAUUGUAAAAUUCUUUCACCGGGGACGAUAAUGACGGUACCCGGAGAAGAAGCCCCGGCUAACUUCGUGCCAGCAGCCGCCGCUGUAA